rnacentral:lncRNA from 1 species
ACAGAAGUCUCCCAUGGAACGAGCACCACCAUCUUUUACCCAAGCCGGUGCCUGUAUCCCUCUAGUCAACACCACCUGGGAACCUGUUAGAAGACCCUCAAGCUCAGCCCGGACCUAGAAUCAGACCCUGGGGCAGAGCCGCAUUUUGGCUUUCUCGACUUAUCAGCCAUCCCGACGCUGACGGCCACCCCACCUAAAGCUCGAGGACCUCACUGUGGAGAUGGACGCUGUGGGUUACAAACAAGAGUGAGCCCCCUGUCCUGCCUCAGUUUGUGGAGCAUCUUCCCCAGUCACCUAGUGCUUUGCAGGCCCUGAAGGUUCACCACCAUGUUGGGGUGGCUUCUCAAUCAGGAGAACCUGGGAUAUUUUGCCACCCGUGUGACUUGCAACAUUUUGUAUCUACUCUGAAAAUUUCCCGGCUGGUUUCCAUAGUGUCUUAUUGAGCCCCGACUGUAAUCUAAGGACAUAAAAACUGUUGCUUCCCACGGCAGACUUGAGAUGAAGUGCCUUGCUAAACAACAUAUCGCUAUUGAAGAGUGGAGAGCCACCUAGACCCCACAGGACAGACUCACAAAGAUCCAACAGAUGUUUCAGUGCAGACAGACUACCAGCUAGGAGGACUAUACCAGUGUGCUGCUUGAUGUGGGAUUCCAGCAGCUCAAAGUGGAAUGGAAACUGUUGAACAGCGGUCAGCAUCUACAGUCUAAUUUAGUCACAGGGAGCUCAAUAAGGAAUGAAGAGCAACACCCUGAACUCCAGUUGGCCUACAGAGAAGUACUUGACUGCCCAGUGGUCUUUCCAAUCAUUGAGUUGAUGGAACAGCCUAUGGACCACGAGUGUUUCUUCACCACUUCCUUGGUUCUCCUCUCCUCUAAGUACUCUGGUCUUCUUUGAGAUAAAGGAUCACUUUGGUGCCCCCAGCCAACGGGCUGACUAUGGUCUGUACAAACUGAAGGAUCCACCAGCAGAAGACGCCCAGGCAUACUGCUUAUCAUCAUUGUUCUCUGUGAUCACAACUACUCUACCACUAGAUAGACUGAAUAGAAUCCAAUACCCAGCUACCAAUCAUGGAGAUGCCUGCACCAACCUGGAGAGCCUCCAUGAAUGCGUUUGUGCCAGACUUCGCAAUAAUUUCUAAGUUAUGAACGAGGUCAGCCACAAUCAUGCCAAUGCCUGUGUCCACCAAUGUCAGUGUGUAUUCCUAAGGAUUGGGCAUGGUGUCGAUUUUCAGCUUUAACUCUGUCUAACUUGCAAGGGUCUGUGAGGCUCUCAAAGUGAAUUUUGUCUAAAGCAUCAGAAACAUUAGAGAUCAACUCCUGAAGGAAAAUUCCGUUGUUUGAAUAGAAUGUCUUGAUGAUGAGGGACAUGAGCGGAACAGUUUCUACCUGAAAGGCAAAGGUCUCCACCUCUUCCUCUCCAUGGCGCACUUCCUCAGGCAUCCUGACAGGAAAGCUAAGUAGUAAUACAGAGCAGGGUAGACCUGGACUGCAUCGGACUUCAUGCCACGCCUAGGCUGCACAGGGUUUACUCAGGAGCUUGUUUUCAUUUCUGGCAUGCAUAUUUCUUUGUCAAUCUUAAGUAUUAGGUAUUUUAUAAAUUAAAGAUGUCAUGUGAUUCUGUGUUUUGGAAAGUG